GUCGAGGGGUACAGGAUUUUCGGAUCGCUGACGACCGGCGCACGGGUGAGUAACGCGUAUGCAACCUACCCGUAGCUGAGGGAUAGCCCGAAGAAAUUCGGAUUAAUACUUCAUAAUAUUAUUGAAACGCAUGUUUCGAUAAUUAAAGUUUCGGCGGCUACGGAUGGGCAUGCGUGACAUUAGCUUGUUGGUGAGGUAAUAGCUCACCAAGGCAACGAUGUCUAGGGGGUCUUAAAGGAUGAUCCCCCACACUGGUACUGAGACACGGACCAGACUCCUACGGGAGGCAGCAGUGGGGAAUAUUGGUCAAUGGGCGCAAGCCUGAACCAGCCAUUCCGCGUGCAGGAUGAAUGCCCUAUGGGUUGUAAACUGCUUUUAUACAAGAAGAAACCUUUGUACGUGUACAAAGCUGACGGUACUGUAUGAAUAAGCAUCGGCUAACUCCGUGCCAGCAGCCGCGGUAAUACGGAGGAUGCAAGCGUUAUCCGGAUUUAUUAGGUCUAAAGGGUGCGUAGGCGGAUAAUUAAGUCAGUGGUGAAAUCCUGCAGCUUAACUGUAGAACUGCCAUUGAUACUGAUUGUCUUGAGUUUAGUUGAGGUAGGCGGAAUGUGUGGUGUAGCGNNGAAAUGCUUANAGAUCACNCAGAACCCCGAUUGCGAAGGCAGCUUACUAAGCUAACACUGACGC
rnacentral:rRNA from 1 species